rnacentral:rRNA from 1 species
UACGUAGGGUGCGAGCGUUGUCCGGAAUUAUUGGGCGUAAAGAGCUCGUAGGCGGUGUGUCGCGUCGGCCGUGAAAACCUGGGGCUUAACUCUGGGCGUGCGGUCGAUACGGGCAUCACUGGAGUUCGGCAGGGGAGACUGGAAUUCCUGGUGUAGCGGUGAAAUGCGCAGAUAUCAGGAGGAACACCGGUGGCGAAGGCGGGGUCUCUGGGCCGAUACUGACGCUGAGGAGCGAAAGCGUGGGGAGCGAACAGG